rnacentral:misc_RNA from 1 species
ACUUCAACCCUGACAGGUAAUGAUCAUGUGCACUCCUCAUAUAAGUUGCUUACCAUAUUAUCUCAAUGUAGAGAAACUCCACAAUGGAUACUGAAUGAACAAUAUGGUUAGAAGAUGAAAUCUACACUCUUCUAUUGGUCAGAUUAAAGCUUUACUAUCUCCGUAGGGAUGACAUCCCUUUGGAUUGAUGAUGUGAUCUCUUGCUAUGCAUCCCACUGUCGCUCAUACUCCCUUCCGCAAGAUCAUCAUGUACCUCUGAGAACUCGUUCGUCCAUGAGUUGAGCGGAACGACAUAACUGUCAUCCUUCGAGUUCCUCCUCCUCUCUUCAUACCGUUUUACG